GUGCGAUUGAGGAUUGGACUAUG
rnacentral:piRNA from 1 species